rnacentral:tRNA from 1 species
GUCAGGAUAGVUCAGUUGGUAGAG